UACGGAAGGCAGCAGGGGGAAUAUUGCACAAUGGGCGCAAGCCUGAUGCAGCCAUGCCGCGUGUAUGAAGAAGGCCUUCGGGUUGUAAAGUACUUUCAGUCGUGAGGAAGGUGUUAAGGUUAAUAACCUUAGCAAUUGACGUUAGCGACAGAAGAAGCACCGGCUAACUCCGUGCCAGCAGCCGCGGUAAUACGGAGGGUGCGAGCGUUAAUCGGAAUUACUGGGCGUAAAGGGCACGCAGGCGGUUAAUUAAGUUGGAUGUGAAAUCCCCGGGCUUAACCUGGGAAUGGCAUUCAAGACUGGUUAGCUAGAGUCUUGUAGAGGGGGUUAGAAUUCCAUGUGUAGCGGUGAAAUGCGUAGAGAUGUGGAGGAAUACCGGUGGCGAAGGCGGCCCCUGGACAAAGACUGACGCUCAUGUGCGAAAGCGUGGGGAGCAAAC
rnacentral:rRNA from 1 species